GGGGCUGUCGGGAUUGGUUGCCGCCUUCUCCGCCGUCGGAGCGCCGGGCUGAGGCGCCUCGGGUAAUUUUUCCGGGUAGAAAUGUCUGGAUCUCUGUCUUCCCGGUACAGACUCCUGCGGAGACUGCUCGUCACGUGUGCGUCACUUUACACCUUUUUGUGAAAAACCAAACGUCCCUUAAGAGGACGAUCUAGUCAUCCACGGCCGUUCCCGCGGGGAGCGCGGCGCCGUCAGUUUCUGAUUGGCUCGCGCAGCUCUGGCCGGACGCCGCCCCCUGGUGGUCCGCGGGGGUAACUACCGGCGCUGUGGCCGCGCGGAGUCCGCUCCUGGCCUGCUUGGCUCCCGGAAUGAAAGCCUCUGGACGGCCUGGGGCAAAAGGCUGCGUUAGCCCAAAUUGGCCCCUCUGAAAGAGGAGUAGUAGUUUACUUUGCCUGGAAUUAAAGUCUGUAAAUCAGCCACAUUCAGUUGUGUGAAGACCAGGCUUGGAUAAUCUCUACAUCACAGUGCUGCCCACCAUCUCCAUCGUUCUUUUAGGCACUGUCUUCUUAAGCCCCAAACUGAAGAAAUCUAUCAAUCUGCACUUUCAAGAAGCACUACUCAGGAGAUAUCAAAGAACUAUCCAAUGUGCUGGCCUCUCACUGCAAAACCACCACAGUAAUUUGGAGAAUUGUCUAUAUUCACUUGACGUAAGGAGAGUUCUGUUUCCAGUUUAAUUCACCUGAAGUGCUUCCUCAGAUUAUCACCAUGAUGAAACUGGACAAAUAGCCAAGAAGCAGUUACUCACAAAAAACAAAAUUGUGCAAUCCAAAUAUGUAAUACUCCUGACCUGGAAGGAUGACAAAUGUUCUUCACAUGAAACACAGCAAGUUAAAAUCUAAUGCCAGUUGGAUCAAUAUGUCUAAUAGCAAUAUUCUGACUGAAUCAGAGUAUGGUGUGAAAACUAUGAAGGAAAUUAAUUGCUGCUGUCUAAAAAUGCUGUAGGCAAGGAUCUACUGCCUUUCCUUUGCCCGGCAACUCUUCUUUGCUCCUGACCUUGCAUUAGGAGACAUUUAGUACUAUAAAAACAAAUGGAGAAAAGUGUGUUACAGCAAGAAAAUGGAAAACCACCCAUCAUGAGAUCCUCAUCUUCAUGGCAGUUUGCAUGCUUGUCAGUAUCAGCUCAGAUUUGAAGAGUUCAUGGAGGCUUGGUUAGCUCUCAAGAGAUGUAAACAUUGAUUAUGAUGAAGUUUGACCUCUAGAGAACUUUAAAAAUUGUUUAAUAUGCACAUUUUCCUUAAUGAAGCCCACUUUAAGCAAGCAAACAAUAACAAAAUAAGCACACCAAAUUUUGAGACUGCUGUGUAAUAGUGAGAUAUAUGAGGCUUAUCCAGGACUCAUGUUAAUUUAGUUUAACUAGAUGCUGAAAUGGAUUGUGAGUAAACUAGAAUUUAAAAGGAAAAUGACUAUAUAAUCAAUCUCAUCAAUAUAAUAAGGUUAUAUUUACUUUGCCUCCUCACAGAGAUCAUUGUCACCCAAUGCUUAUGGAAUAAAUCCUUACGUUCUUUAGAUCCUUAAUAACGAACCUCUCCUUGCACGUGGAAGGAAAAAAAAAUGAGGUCUUUUAGGUUCAUCUAUACUGUUCACCUAUUGUGGCCUAUCCUCAUAUUCUAUACUCCUAUUUUGAACAUGCUCUAUCCAUCUGUCCACAACCGGUUUGAAGAAUAAUGUCUUUUGUUUUAGAAGUGAGCUGGUUGACAAACUUAAUGCCUCAUUAUCAAUUGUUGGAGGAGGUUGUCCAGAGGAAUGUGCUGUCAAUUUGCCGGGAUGUGAGAGCAUUACUACUGCACCUACUCAACCUGGAGAGGAACCCCAUGUAUAAAAUCCAUGUGAAAAAGCAAUCUGAAGCAAUUCUAACCAUUUUAUGCCCCAGAGAAAUUAUACAGGACAGAAAUGCAGUGAAUUUAAAGAAUGGGGCCAAAUGUUUAGUAAUCCUUCAUCCUCUGGAUCCAUGUGCUGAGCACAUGCUGGUUGGGACUCUUCGGGCUUGCCUUCUGCAAAUAGUUGGGUAGAAAAACCUUAUUGCAGACAUGGAAAAACUGUGCAGAAAACCCUCUGAUUCUGAGAAUCUCCAAUAUGAAGAAAUACUUUUGAAGGUGAUUGAGAGGGCCAAUAACAAUUUAUGAAUUGCCAGCCAAAAUCAGAGGGUAAAUAGUUGAAAAUUAACAAGAAAAGAGGGAAAGCUGAUGAGGCAGUAACAUAAUGAAUAAAAAAUAAAGAAUAAAAAAGAAUUGAACGUGGAUAAUCCAGGCCCUUCUUUGUAUGUGAAAUUAAGGCCCAUGAAGGUAAAGGAAUUUAACUGAAGAGGCAAGAUCAGGAUUAGAACCCAGGUCACCUCAAGAAUCUACUGCUCAGUCAUGCACCUGCUGUUCUUAUGCAAGAACUUUCAACACCAUUCAUUCAUCUAGCAAAUAUUUUGGAACACCCAUUCUGUGCUUAGAUCUAUCUAAGUCACAGUUAUUAUGUUAUAUACAAUAAACACAUGUCAUCUAUUUCCUGUAAUUUCCUAUCUUUUUAUUGUGCCUGAUUAGAUAAUAGUUGUUUAAUUUAUCCUGCUCAGAAACCGUGUUAC